UACGGGGGGGGCAAGCGUUGUUCGGAAUUACUGGGCGUAAAGGGCUCGUAGGCGGCCAACUAAGUCAGACGUGAAAUCACUCGGCUUAACCGGGGAACUGCGUCUGAUACUGGAUGGCUUGAGUUUGGGAGAGGGAUGCGGAAUUCCAGGUGUAGCGGUGAAAUGCGUAGAUAUCUGGAGGAACACCGGUGGCGAAGGCGGCAUCCUGGACCAACACUGACGCUGAGUGAGCGAAAGCCAGGGGAGCAAACGGG
rnacentral:rRNA from 1 species